UGGCUGGCUAAGCAGUGUGGAUACUUCGUAACACAAAAUGGUUUUGUACUUAUCUGCUAAAUAAGCUCUGUGGGUUCAAAUCCCACUGCGUCCCUUUCUACACGCGCGAUCCAGCCUUUUG
rnacentral:vault_RNA from 1 species